rnacentral:lncRNA from 1 species
UAUUUGAAUGUUAUUUUGGUUAUUAGUUAGGAUUAGUCCUGUUAAGUUUUUAUACCUUCAUUUUAUUUGUUUUGAAAUUUUAGUAUGUGUUAAUUUAACAUCUGAUGGUGAUUAAUAUCUUCAUUGUAUUGUGCUUCUAGAUUUUGAUUUGUUCUGAUAUUUUGGUUGGAUUUGUAGAAUUAUCCAUUGAAAAAAUGUUGAAGGUUAAUUUUGUUUCGUUAACGAAAACCAACCAAAUUAACCGAAAUAUUAAGUUGUUAUCUCUUUUCCUGCA